GAUGAACGCUGGCGGCGUGCCUAAUACAUGCAAGUCGUACGGAAAGGCCCUUCGGGGUACUCGAGUGGCGGACGGCUGAGUAACGCGUGGGAACGUGCCCCAAAGUGAGGGAUAACGCACCGAAAGGUGUGCUAAUACCGCAUAUGGUCUUCGGAUUAAAGCUUCGGCGCUUUGGGAGCGGCCCGCGUACGAUUAGAUAGUUGGUGAGGUAAUGGCUCACCAAGUCGACGAUCGUUAGCUGGUCUGUGAGGAUGAUCAGCCAGACUGGGACUGCGACACGGCCCAGACUCCUACGGGAGGCAGCAGUAAGGAAUCUUCCACAAUGGGGGCAACCCUGAUGGAGCAACGCCGCGUGCAGGAUGAAGGUUUUCGGAUCGUAAACUGCUUUUAUAAGUGAAGAAUAUGACGGUAACUUAUGAAUAAGGAUCGGCUAACUACGUGCCAGCAGCCGCCGUAA
rnacentral:rRNA from 1 species